rnacentral:rRNA from 1 species
AACGCUAGCUACAGGCUUAACACAUGCAAGUCGAGGGGAAACGACAUCGAAAGCUUGCUUUUGGUGGGCGUCGACCGGCGCACGGGUGAGUAACGCGUAUCCAACCUGCCCACCACUUGGGGAUAACCUUGCGAAAGUAAGACUAAUACCCAAUGAUAUCCCACGAAGGCAUCCGAAUGGGAUUAAAGAUUUAUCGGUGAUGGAUGGGGAUGCGUCUGAUUAGCUUGUUGGCGGGGUAACGGCCCACCAAGGCUACGAUCAGUAGGGGUUCUGAGAGGAAGGUCCCCCACAUUGGAACUGAGACACGGUCCAAACUCCUACGGGAGGCAGCAGUGAGGAAUAUUGGUCAAUGGGCGAGAGCCUGAACCAGCCAAGUAGCGUGCAGGAUGACGGCCCUAUGGGUUGUAAACUGCUUUUAUAAGGGAAUAAAGUGGGUCACGUGUGACUUUUUGCAUGUACCUUAUGAAUAAGGACCGGCUAAUUCCGUGCCAGCAGCCGCGGUAAUACGGAAGGUCCGGGCGUUAUCCGGAUUUAUUGGGUUUAAAGGGAGCGUAGGCCGGAGAUUAAGCGUGUUGUGAAAUGUAGUGGCUCAACCUCUGCACUGCAGCGCGAACUGGUCUUCUUGAGUACGCACAACGUGGGCGGAAUUCGUGGUGUAGCGGUGAAAUGCUUAGAUAUCACGAAGAACUCCGAUUG